rnacentral:rRNA from 1 species
GUAGGUGGCAAGCGUUGUCCGGAAUUAUUGGGCGUAAAGCGCGCGCAGGUGGUUCUUUAAGUCUGAUGUGAAAGCCCCCCGGCUCAACCGGGGAGGGUCAUUGGAAACUGGGGAACUUGAGUGCGGGAGAGGAAAGUGGAAUUCCACGUGUAGCGGUGAAAUGCGUAGAUAUGUGGAGGAACACCAGUGGCGAAGGCGACUUCCUGGCCUGUAACUGACACUGAGGCGCGAAAGCGUGGGGAGCAAACAGGGAUUAGAUACCCUGGUAGUCCACGCCGUAAACGAUGAGUGCUAAGUGUUGGGGGGGUUUCCCGCCCCUCAGUGCUGCAGCUAACGCAUUAAGCACUCCGCCUGGGGAUACGGUCGCAAGACUG